UCCCAGCACAGUUAGUAGAGCAUGAGACCCUUAAUCUCAGGGUUGUGGGGUUCAAACCCCACCUUGGGUAA